GGAGCAGGUUGAGUAGUGGAGCAGGUUGAGUCGUGGAGCAGGUUGAGUAGUGGAGCAGGUUGAGUAGUGGAGCAGGUUGAGUAGUGGAGCAGGUUGAGUAGUGGAGCAGGUUGAGUAGUGGAGAAGGUUGAGUAGUGGAGCAGGUUGAGUCGUGGAGCAGGUUGAGUAGUGGAGCAGGUUGAGUAGUGGAGCAGGUUGAGUAGUGGAGCAGGUUGAGUAGUGGAGCAGGUUGAGUAGUGGAGCAGGUUGAGUAGUGGAGCAGGUUGAGUAGUGGAGCAGGUUGAGUAGUGGAGCAGGUUGAGUAGUGGAGCAGGUUGAGUAGUGGAGCAGGUUGAGUAGUGGAGCAGGUUGAGUAGUGGAGCAGGUUGAGAGGUUCAAGUUUCUUGGUGUCCACAUCACCAACAAACUAACAUGGUCCAAACACACCAGAAGAGGGCAUGACAUCACCUAUUCCCCCUCAGGAGACUGAAAACAUUGGUGGUUGCAUCACUGCCUGGUACGGCAACUGCUCAAUCUCCGAGCAGUUGCCGUACGACCCAGUACAUCACCGGGGCCAAGCUUCCUGCCACCCAAAAAUUGUCAAAGACUCCAGACACCCUAGUCAUAGACUGUUCUCUCUGCUACCGCACGGUAAGCAGUACCGGAGCGCCAAGUCUAGAUCCAAGAGGCUUCUAAACAGCUUCUACCCCCAAGCCACAAGACUCCUGAACAUCUAAUCAAAUGGCUACCCAGACUAUUUACACCCCCUCCCCUCUUUUACCCUGCUGCUACUCUCUGUUAUUACCUAUGCAUAGUCACUUCAAUAACUCUAUCUACAUGUUCAUAUUAUCUCAAUUACCUUGACUAACCGGUACCCCCGCACAUUGACCCUGUGCCAGUACCCCCUGUAUAUAGCCUUGCUACUGCUAUUUUAAUGCUUUUAAUGCUGCAUUUCUCUCUUUCUUUUUGUAGGUGUUUUUCUAAAAACUUAAUUUUUGGUUAAGGGCUUGUAAGUAAGCAUUUCACUGAAAGGUUGUAAGGUUGAACCUGUUGUAUUCGGAGCGUGUGACAAAUAACAUUUGAUUUGAUUUGUAUCGGUUGCCGUGACAGCAGUGUAAAUCACAACAGGUAUGUGUAUCAUCUUUCUCCCAAGGUCCUCUCCUCCUCCCUCUCUGGAGUCCCCCUCUCCUCCCCUCCUCUCAUCCUCAUCUCCUCUGACCUUGUGUUCCCUUUCUCUAGGGAGUCUGAGGCCUGUCCUACUGUCAAUGCUAAAUCUACUCUCUAACCAGGGAGGAGGAGGAGGAGAGAG